GCGCUUCUGCACACAGCCCGCAAAGCUGAGGUGUUGAUACCGCCAUUUCCAACCAGCAGUGCCGGUCUGAAGUGCCGGAUUCAAGGCCUCUGCAUACGACUCCCAGUGAGCAAGUGACAUUCAACUGAGCACAAAGAAAGAAAAAAAAAAAAAGAAAAAGGGAACUGAUGGGAGGGACUUCUAUCUGACCCCAAAGAAAGUUGCUGGAGAGCCUCACAGACUGGCCAGGUCCCACGCGUAAAAUGAGGUCACUUUGCCUUCCCAUGGGAGAUCAAUCAUCGUUCUGAGGCCCACUGCAGAGAUGCCCACCUCUCACACUCAUCCUGUAGAGAAAUGAAGAUCCAGGUCUUCAACUUAGGAACUACAUAUCUAUUGUAUUUUGUUGUCUCUUUGUCCAUUGGUUACAACUCCCAGGAGAAUACGGGCUCUGUCAGCACAUCUUAUUGAUCUUACCAUCAAGAUCCUGUCUAUCCAGAUUAUACCCACGGAUCAUCACCAUUAUUGGCACUACCUUGAGUGAAGCCACCAUCAUUUUGUUAUCUGAAUUAUUGAAAAAGACUCCUAGCUCAGAGAAUGUUUCAUACACAUAAAGCCUUAAUAUAUAAAUUAAUGAAGGCAUGGAUAAAAUAAAAAUAUUCAGAAUUUGAGGUAAGACUAAUUAAACAGGAUUGGUGAUUAGGAAAUAAAGGAAAGAAUUUUUCAGUGCUUUAAUUUAUGCGUGGCUCAGUCUAUACUUCAGUCAAGUGCUUUGAAAAUGCCAAAGUGUUAUUUAAAUGUA